AUUAACGCUGGCAGAGUGCAUAACACAUGCAAGUCGAGCGAGACUGGUCGCAAGAUCAGUCUAGCGGCAGACGAGUGAGUAACACGUAAACAAUCUACCCUUUAAUGGCGAAUAACCAAUCGAAAGGCUGGCUAAUACGCCGUACUAUCCCGCAAAGGCAUCUUUGCGGGAGGAUAGAUCCGCAAGGAUCGUUCUUGGAGGAGUUUGCGGCCCAUCAGCUAGUUGGCGGUGUAAUAGACCACCAAGGCUACGACGGGUACCCGGACUGAAAGGGCGGACGGGCACGAUGGCACUGAGACACGGGCCAUACUCCUACGGGAGGCAGCAGUGGGGAAGUGUGGACAAUGGGCGAAAGCCUGAUCCAGCAACGCUGCGUGAGGGACGAAGGUCUUCGGAUCGUAAACCUCGUUUACAUGGGAAGAAGACCCGCAAGGGUUCGACGGUACCAUGUGAAUAAGCCACGGCUAACUAUGU
rnacentral:rRNA from 1 species